GGCAGGCGGCUUCAGGCGCAGAGCGCGGCGCGCUAGAAGAAGGAAGGAAGGAAGAGAGGAGGCGAGGAGGCGAGCGAGCGGGCGGGCAGACGCGAUGUAGCGGAGAAGUAUUGAGACUUAGUAGUUCUACUAUGCAUUGAUGGGCAGCGGCGUACUGCAUUUCCCACAAGGUUUCUGUAAAACUGUAUUGGCGUGAAGGAAAAAAAUUGGGUAGGCCGAACAAAUAUACUGGGGACAUCGAGGAGAUAAUGGGAUUAUGUGAUCAAGAAGGCAAAUGAAUGUAGCUUGAAUCUAAUGGUUUACAUCCAGCAUUUUCUCAGUAUUCAGAUAUUUAGAUGCUAUGAUGCAUCUGUACUCACAAAUGUCAGAACUAUGCAAGCAGAAGUUGGACUUUGAAGAAGAUAAAAAGACUUUUGAACAUUGGUAUUAGAAAAGAUUCUUGACAAUAUCAAGGAUAGCCAAGAAAACAAAUGAAUAGAUCAUAGAACAAAUCAACCCAGAGUUCUCACUCAAGAACCAAAUAACCAGGCUCAAAUUAUAUUUUGGUCACAUUAUCUGAAAUCCCAACUUCCUUGAGGAGUUCAUAAAGUUGGGAAAGGUGGAAGGAAAGAGGAGAAGACGAUGAUCAGCAGAAAGAUGAAUGGACUUGAUUACAACAGAGAUGAGUACGCUGUUGGGAGACCCAAAAGGCCAGGUUGGGAACAGCUCAUCUUGAAAAAGGUCUAGCUAUGUGGUCACUAUGAGUCAACACCAGCUUUUGGUACACAAUCAAGCUUGCUCUUCUGUUCUUAUCUCUAGGUUGUCUGGACAGUUUGACAGCUUUUCCAUGAUUUCAAUAAUAAAAGUUUAUUUAAUUUCA